rnacentral:miRNA from 1 species
AUAUGUGUAUACACACACACACACACACACACACACACAUAUAUAUAUAUAUACACAUGUGUGUGUGUGUGUAUAAAUAUAU